rnacentral:rRNA from 1 species
CCAAUAGCGUAUAUUAAAGUUGUUGCAGUUAAAAAGCUCGUAGUUGAAUUUCGGGAUCAAGGAAUCGGUCAUGCCUCGGUAUGUACUGGUUUUAUUGGUUCUCACCUUCUAAAGAACCAUGAGGUCAUUCAUUUGAUGUUAUGGGGAAUUAGGACUGUUACCUUGAAAAAAUUAGAGUGUUUAAAGCAAGCUUACGCUUGAAUACAUUAGCAUGGAAUAAUGAAAUAGGACAUCCGAUUCUAUUUUGUUGGUUUCUAGGAUCGAUGUAAUGAUUAAUAGGGAUAGUUGGGGGCAUUAGUAUUCAAUUGUCAGAGGUGAAAUUCUUGGAUUUAUUGAAGACUAACUACUGCGAAAGCAUUUGCCAAGGAUGUUUUCAUUAAUCAAGAACGAAAGUUAGGGGAUCGAAGACGAUCAGAUACCGUCGUAGUCUUAACCAUAAACUAUGCCGACUAGGGAUCGGAUGAUGUUUAUUUUUUAGUGACUCAUUCGGCACCUUACG